rnacentral:rRNA from 1 species
CCUACGGGUGGCAGCAGUGAGGAAUAUUGGUCAAUGGGCGCAAGCCUGAACCAGCCAAGUCGCGUGAGGGACGACUGCCCUAUGGGUUGUAAACCUCUUUUAUAAGGGAGUAAUAAGUGCGACGUGUAGCAUGAUGCAUGGACCUUAUGAAUAAGCAUCGGCUAACUCCGUGCCAGCAGCCGCGGUACUACCGAGGAUUCGAGCGUUAUCCGGAUUUAUUGGGUUUAAAGGGUGCGGAGGGGGGCUUUUAAGUCGGAUGUGAAAGGCUGGGGCUUAACCUGGGAAUUGCAUUUGAUACGUGAAGGCUUGAGUCUGGUAGAGGGAGGCAGAAUUCGUGGUGUAGCGGUGAAAUGCGUAGAGAUCACGAGGAAUACCGAUAGCGAAGGCAGCCCACCAGACAAAGACUGACGCUGAGGCGCGAAAGCGUGGGGAGCAAACAGGAUUAGAUACCCCGGUAGUC